GACGUAGGGCGCAAGCGUUGUCCGGAUUUAUUGGGCGUAAAGAGCUCGUAGGCGGCUCGUUGCGUCGGCUGUGAAAACCUGCAGCUUAACUGUGGGCUUGCGGUCGAUACGGGCAUCACUGGAGUUCGGCAGGGGAGACUGGAAUUCCUGGUGUAGCGGUGAAAUGCGCAGAUAUCAGGAGGAACACCGGUGGCGAAGGCGGGUCUCUGGGCCGAUACUGACGCUGAGGAGCGAAAGCGUGGGGAGCGAACAGG
rnacentral:rRNA from 1 species